rnacentral:rRNA from 1 species
UAGAGUAUACCGACGCGAUCGAGUGAAUCGUGGUGAAGGAACUCGGCAAAAUGCCCCCGUAACUUUGGGAUAAGGGGGACCUGAGCUGUCGUGCACCCGUGCGGUGUGGUGGCGGUGAGGGGCGCAGAGUCCAGGGGGAAACGACUGUUUACCAAAAACACAGGUCCGUGCGAAGUCGUAAGACGAUGUAUACGGACUGACUCCUGCCCGGUGCUGGAAGGUUAAGGGG